rnacentral:rRNA from 1 species
AUAUUGCGCAAUGGGGGCAACCCUGACGCAGCAACGCCGCGUGAGUGAAGAAGGCCUUCGGGUUGUAAAGCUCUUUAGACAGAGAAGAAGGGCGCCUUGGUUAAUAAUCCUGGCGUUUGACGGUAUCUGUAGAAUAAGCACCGGCUAACUCCGUGCCAGCAGCCGCGGUAAUACGGAGGGUGCAAGCGUUGUUCGGAAUUAUUGGGCGUAAAGCGCACGUAGGCGGGUUUGUAUGUCGAUUGUGAAAGCCCUGGGCUUAACCUGGGAAUUGCAGUCGAAACUGCAGAUCUUGAAUACCUGAGAGGGUGGGGGAAUUCCUGGUGGAGUAGUGAAAUACGUAGAGAUCAGGAGGAACACCUGAGGCGAAGGCGCCUGCCUGGCAGUGUAUUGACGCUGAGGUGCGAAAGCGUGGGGAGCAAACAGG